GCCUCGGAGAAAAGCUACCUCUCGUUACUGCAGAGUCCAGGGUGAAUAAAUCACCUUUUCCCACCUCCGAGGAGCUGGGAUGAAACUGCAGCCCGGCGGCGGAGUGGGGUGCUGGUGGUGACCGUACGCACCCGGGGAUGAGCCAAAGCCCAUUAGGAAACGACUCAUCGGCUUAACGACCUUUGGACGGGGCCCUGGGGAAUCCGUCCUCACCACCACGGCGAUGGGUGCUGCCUAACGAGCGACCACGAUGCGCAUCUCUCACCGGGCAGGAUUUUCCCAGCUGUUGACCAAACGGUUUCGCUGGGUUCUGGAAUCACUCGGCUCUUUCCAUCAUCACCACCCGCCAGCAAGGGUGCUGUGCGCCUCAAAACCAGCAAAUUACCCAGAUCUGGGAGAAACCUGCUCUGGGUCGGCUUCUGCCCCUAAUAAUCACCUCGU